UACGUAGGGUGCAAGCGUUGUCCGGAAUUAUUGGGCGUAAAGAGCUCGUAGGCGGUUUGUCGCGUCGAAUGUGAAAACCCGGGGCUCAACCCCGGGCCUGCAUUCGAUACGGGCAGACUAGAGUUCGGUAGGGGAGUCUGGAAUUCCUGGUGUAGCGGUGAAAUGCGUAGAUAUCAGGAGGAACACCGGUGGCGAAGGCGGCUACCUGGACACCAACUGACGCUGAGACGCGAAAGCGUGGGGAGCAAACAGG
rnacentral:rRNA from 1 species